ACAUCAUACAUUCCAAGUAAUGCAGCACACUACUCUGGACCACGGUGACCUUUUAAAUAUUCUGCAAAUUGAUUUCCAGGCCAUUCCCACUCUCCCUUGUUUAUAGCCUUGGUAACCCAGAAGAAAAUGAGACUGGCCAGCUGUGAUUCCUGCAUUUCUGUUCUCAUCAGUGCUCAGAAUUACAUUUCUUUCUCUCCCAAAGGCUUCAUGACAACGCUUACUGUUGAUCUAGAGAGCAGCAGCACCAAGAAUCUUCAAUAAGGACAAGUUUAAGAGCUAUAAGCAGUUGUGUGGACUCCUUAGAGCCUUCUGCCUGAGAUGAUGCUGCCAGAGGGCCCUUGCCAGAUAUUGCCACCUUGAUAUUAGACUUCCCAUCCUCCAAAACUGUUUAUAAGAAAACUCCUUAAAGCCGGAGAAGAGUUGAGAUGCUGAAAGCAAAAGACAUAUAUGCUAGCUCCAACACACAUUCAGUUCCUCUGAACAAUAAGGAAGCUUAUAUGGUGAUGGCUUGGAAUUUCAGAGUUCUAAAAUGAACCUAAAAAGUUACUUCAGCAUCCUUAGAAAUAAGUUGUUAAGGCAUGAACAUUUGAGUUCAUCCAAAGUGUUAUCAAAAGGUCUCAUCAAAUUAUUUUAUGUAGAAGAGCACCCAAAUGUUAUUUCUUGCUGUUCCUCUUCUUUUCCUCAAGAGAAAGAAGGUUGAAAACUGAAAAUGAUGAAGUUGAAGAAUGAAGUCAAUGAGUGUUAAGAAGAGAUUCAUUUAUCCUUGAAAAAUGAAAAAGUAGAGUGCUGGUGGUGAUCAUGUCUUCCCUUCACCCAUGGGGACUUUUCAUUUAUCGCUGCCACUCCAGCAUGUUCACUAUUCUCUGUAGCAUGAAAAUCUGAUAAAGCUCAUGAGGGGAGAGAAAACUUAACUUCAAUAUUUUCCUGCUGAGCCUGAGAGUGCUUUGUAUACCCUAGCAAGAUGAAAAUCUUAGCUGCAGCAUCAGGAAGAGGACACCUCACUUUAUCCUACAUUCCUAUCUCAGUCAGGAAAGUAGCUCUAGAGAAGGAACUAAGAAGUCAAGGCCUUUUGUGAAGUUGCUCUGUUAUCUCUGUGGCCCCAAAGACCAAAAUGAUGGAGAAAAUGAAACCAGGAUGAUUUCUGACAUCUGCUUCCACUCCACCUUCUUUAACCACUUCAUCCACAUCUCUCUUAGCUUCUCACAUAAGUCUCACCUGGAAUCAUCUUAUUUACACCAAUAAAUUUACCUACCACCUGCCUGUUGAUUGCCAAA
rnacentral:lncRNA from 1 species